rnacentral:lncRNA from 1 species
AUCGCGCAUUAAAAUGGCGUCAAGUGCAUCCCAUUCAUCAAAAUUGCCGCAGUCAUUACACCGGUGCAACUAGAGUUUCUUCUCUUAUACCGUUUGUUUACUUUGGAUUGCGAUAAUUCAUCAAUUAUUUGAAAAAGCUAACAAGUACAGUCGAUUCGCAGCCACGGCCAGGGAUCCCUAAACCAGGUUGUUUUACAUGGUCAGCUUGUGUUUGCAAUUGUCAUUGUACAGCACUGUUGCACAGCCAGCAUUUUGAUUGAUCCCCAAUUGCACACUUCAGGACUUCCGCGUGUCUCUCUUCCCCGGCUGCAACAUUUGCAUUUAACAAACGCAAACAAGCCAAGAAGGUAGGAACUAUUUUGGUAAGUUCUGAAACAAAAAAAGAAAUUAUAGCACAUUAUUUGAUAUGAGCUAACCUCUGUUUAACAGAAUCUCUCAACCAAACUUUGCAUAACGGGUGAAUUUUAUAGACCGGACAGAGCUACAGGUUUCUGCGUGCAACACGCACAUGUACGAAAUUUUAUUUUUUACUUAAAGUUAAGUAAAACCUUAUUGAAAACAAAUAGUUUAACUCACCAGUUUUUUCUCAUUCCUCGUUAUUCGGAAAAUGUUUGUUGGGUUUCACCACCUAAUGAGCCUUGAAGAAGCAUGUUUUGUUUCUUUUUGCGGAAGAUUAAAACUGCCGGCCAUAUUUUCAGGUGUUGUUGUCUGAAUAGAAAGAUUUGAAGAGCGCGCCUUGUCAUCUUUCGAGCCCACGUGGUCCCAAGCUUGUCGCCAAUUGGCUUUUUUCGUGUCAGCCAUCUUACGUCAUACAUCAGGGAGGACGUAACGGCAACGAGAACGUCGCUAAACAAAAGGUUUUAUGAGCAGAAUAGCUGUGCACCUGCGUUGUAAAUCUUUGUAAAUUUCUUUGCGUCCUCUGCCAAACAACAACGUAAAAUGACCAACGACGUGGUUGACGACGGCUAAUUUUAUUUAAAGCGACUGAUUUAAUGCAUAAUUUUAUUUCUAAUAUAAAGCUCUAUUCCAUAUUUAGUUUUGAGGUAGUUUUGGCCGAGAGAAACAAAUUAAAUGACUUCGGAGUAUCGCGUAUUUUAUUGAAUUAAAUUGCAGUGCAUUGAGUUACACUACUUUGAAUUGCGCUGAGUUGUUUUAUUUCAUUUUCCUUUGAUUGGGUGUAUGCUGAUGUCCACAAAGUUAUCUAUGGUAUAGAUAAUUCCAGAUUUGAUACAUGUUAAGAAACCUGCAAAAUAUUAACUCAAGAUAACUAUUUUGUUAGUUCUCCAGAGCAAAUGGCUCCUAGAACUCUAUCCGCCUUGCUCUCCAAUUUUCUGAUGAAAAACUCCACUCCGAUAGAGUUCAUGGGUGGAUGAUAUCAAAAAAGAAAUUAACACAAACAAGAGAAAAGAAAAGAAAAGUGUCUCCCAAACUUCGGGAAACGCCCAUUUAGAAGUCAUAUCUAAGGUCGCGGUUGACGAUUCAAACUAAUAGCAAGAAAUGUUUUCCCUUGCCAGGAUUAAUAGGCGUGUUGAUCCGGGUAAAGUGGCACGGUCCUUUUCAGUCCCAAUCUCCAAGCCCUCAGUAUCUCUAGACUGACAGUAACUUUUUCUUACCGACAUCAAAGAUCAUCAUCAUCAUCAUCUUUAUUUUUUUGAGCAGGUUAAGUUUAUGGCAGCAAUUUGCUGAUGUGGACC